rnacentral:rRNA from 1 species
UACGAAGGGUGCAAACGUUAUUCGGAAUCACUGGGCGUAAAGGGUGCGUAGACGGUAUGUUAAGUUCGUUGUUAAAGGCUCCGGCCUAACCGGAGUAUUGCGAUGAAAACUGGCAAGCUAGAGGGUGAGAGAGAGAAGUGGAAUUCCUGGAGUAGCGGUAAAAUGCGUGGAUCUCAGGAGGAACACCAAUGGCGAAGGCAGCUUCUUGGCUCAUUCCUGACGUUGAGGCACGAAAGCGUGGGGAGCAAACAGG